UCCUGGCUCAGGAUGAACGCUAGCGGCAGGCUUAAUACAUGCAAGUCGAGGGGCGAGCACGGUUAGCAAUAACUGGUGGCGACCGGCGCACGGGUGCGUAACACGUAUACAAUCUACCUUAAACAGGGGAGUAGCCUUUCGAAAGAGAGAUUAAUACCCCGUAAUAAAUUGAACGGCAUCGUUUGAUUUUGAAAGCUCCGGCGGUUUGAGAUGAGUAUGCGUCUGAUUAGCUAGUUGGUGAGGUAACGGCUCACCAAGGCGACGAUCAGUAGGGGAUCUGAGAGGACUAACCCCCACACUGGUACUGAGACACGGACCAGACUCCUACGGGAGGCAGCAGUAAGGAAUAUUGGUCAAUGGAGGCAACUCUGAACCAGCCAUGCCGCGUGCAGGAUGACGGCCCUAUGGGUUGUAAACUGCUUUUAUACAAGAGAAAACCCGAGUACGUGUACUCGGUUGAUAGUAUUGUAAGAAUAAGCAUCGGCUAACUUCGUG
rnacentral:rRNA from 1 species